rnacentral:lncRNA from 1 species
AAGCCUUUGUUAAUUCCUUGGUAGUUUUUGCAGUUAAUAAAUUAGUAGAAGAUGGGUUAUCACAAUAAUCUUGAUAAGGUCCGUAAUAAGAGGGCCAAGUUUCCCUACACAAAGGAGCAGAUAAGGAACGUCUUCAAACGUCAUGACAAGAAUGGAGAUGGUCAACUUUCCAAAGAUGAGCUGGACGCAGCCUUCAAAGAACUUGGCUCGAUAUGGCCUCCUGGUAGAGCUUGGUUUGCUCAAAGGUAUGCAGAUGACGACGGCGAUGGCUUCAUUUCUAUAGACAAGGAGCUCAGCAAGCUCGUCCAGUAUGCCCUAGAAUUGAAGUAUACACUUAAGUAAUUAUAGUAUUAGUGGGUAACUAGUUCUUGUAUGUGCUUGCUAUAGAUAUAUUCUCAGCAAGCUCGUUGACUAUGCCCUCAAUUGAAGUUCUCUAUAUAAGUAAUCGUAGUGGUGGAGCUAAACUUGGUGUCUUAGUGACCACAACCACUUCAAGUCUAUAUGUAACUCCGUCUGUGUGUAAGCGUCUUUAAUUACUUGUAAGCAGCCGUAGUACCUAUAUAUGUGUGCAAGGUUGAAGGAACGAAAGAGGUGACCUUUUGUUUCCCUUCGUUACCAGGGAAGAUGAAUUUGAACCCUGAUUAUGUAUAAUAUAUAGUGAUUAACAAGAAUAAAGUAACAAACUUUGUGUAUUGAUAUCUAUUACGUAUACAUGUGUACGUAGGUGUGUCUAUAUAUUUAUAUAUGUACAUAUAUAUUGCAUUACAUACGUAUACAUACACAACUUACACUGAUAUUGUAUUACAUUCCCAAAUUCCUUCCCGGUCAAAAAGUCAACUUUUAUACUAAUAAAAUAUUCUAGGGGCAAAAUAGUCUUUUAUCUGAAUAAAUUAACAAUUAAAAAUUUAUUUAGGACUGGGUUGUUACAUAAACUCUUAUAAAUACCUCCUUAUGGAGAAGAAUAAAGUUAACCUAAUACAUUCAAACCAUAUUCAUAUUUUAGCACUAUGAAUGUUACCUUAUCGAGCAUGAGAUGUAUUUUGCUCACCCAGUAUCUCAUUCUCCUCAUCUAGGGGAGAGUAGCGUUGAAGAGUCGAAAUGGAUGGAGUUAUUUCAGGAUAAUAGUGAGGUUAAUUGGCUAGCCAUGUGUGACUUGACAACUAGUAACGAACCAAUCUGCACAGAACUGGCCAGUACCGCACUUGUGACUGAACCUACCAGUACCGUCGCACCCACAGCUUAUAACGUCUAUGCCGCCCCUCUCUCUACUACCUUUCUAGUACCCGGCCCCGAGUCUCCUCAUUCUAACAUUCUUGAGGUAAGUAUAUAAUCUUUGAUUAAUACUAACAAUGAUUGUGAAAUUAGUAAGUGUAGUGUGUAUCAGUUACCACCAAUGACUAAUCAUAGGAAGCCACCAUACGGAUAUUCACCAGAGCCUGCGACAUAGGUAAAGUAUCUUAUUUCUCAUUAUAUGUCUACUCAUAGAUUAUCUGAAGCUUGUCAGGCAUUUGUAAAUCAAAUGUCUAUGAUGACUAUUUCUAGUAAAGUACAAGAUGCAAUAUCUGAUUCAAAAUGGGCCAGUGCUAUGACUGAAGAGAUGCAAACUCUUGAGAAAGAUCAAACCUAGGAAUUGGUGCAACUGCCAGAAGGGAAGAAACCAGUUGGUUGCAGAUGUGUUAUAAAACACAAACCGGAUGGUUCUAUUGACAAGUAUAAAGCCAGACUUGUUGCCUGAGGUUUUUCCCAGACUUAUGAUAUUGAUUAACAUUUGCACCAAUGACUAAGAUCAAUACCAUUUGAGUUCGAUUAUCUUUAGCUGCAAACUUUAACUGGCCAUUGCAGCAAUAUGAUGUAAAAAAAUACCUUUUUACAUGGAGACUUACAAGAGGAAGUCUACAUGUCAUUGCCGCAAGGUUAUAAUGCUCAUACUGAUGCCAGUGUUCUGCGUAAAUUGAAGAAUACACUGUAUGGAUUGAAGCAGUCUCCGCGAACUUGGUUUAGGAGAUUGCGUCGUGCCAUGAAAAAAUAUGGUUAUGAGCAGAGCAACGCUCAUCAUACUUUAUUUCUUCAAAGGAAGAAUGGUAAGUUAACAGUUCUUAUUAUUAAUGCGGAUGAUAUGAUCGUGACUAGUGAUUGUCUUGAUGAAAUUGACAAAUUAAAAGGCUAUUUAGCUUCUGAGUUUGAUAUGAAGGAUCUCGGUGGAUUAAAAUAUUUUUUAGGUAUUGAGGUAACUUGUUCUGAACAUUGAAUUUUCUUGUCACAAAGAAAAUAUGUUCUUGUCACAAAGAAAAUAUGUUCUUGAUUUGCUAAAGGAAUCAGGUAUGCUUGGGUGUGAACCGAUUGGUACUCCUAUAGAACAAAAUCAUGGUUUGGAAGAAUAUCCAGAUCAAGUUCUAAGUGAUAAGGGACGAUAUCAAAGGUUGGUUGGUCGUUUGAUUUAUUUGUCUCAUACUAGACCUGAUAUUGCAUAUGCAGCAAGUGUUGUAAGUAGGUUCAUGCAUAAUCCAAGUCCAUGAUAUAUGGAUGCAGUAGUCUGAAUUUUGAGGUAUUUGAAAUUUGCACCAGGAAAAGGUAUGAUGUUCUUAAAGCAUGGGCAUGUAAAGGUUGUGGGGCAUACAUACUCAGACUGGGCAGGAAAGGAGGAUAAGAGGAGAUCGACAUUUGGUUAUUUCACGUUUGUUUAGGCGGUAACUUGGUUACUUUAUAGUCUAGGUGAUUGACCCCAAGCUUUUUGGAUGUUAGGUAUAUAUAGUUGGCUAUCGCGUUUAAGUACUUUUGGUUUCAGAGCGACACCCUUAUCCAUAUGGCAUCUACAACACAACAUAAAACAUAAGUUCUUUUCUUUUCAUAUCGGAUAUUGCUUUCGAGUUUCAUAUCCACCACGCUGUGUGUUAUCCCUAUGGCAUCUACGAUGGGGAUGCUUGUCCCAAUAGUCAUAGGCCAAAUCUCACCGAAAAGUCGAGCACUUUUUAGAAAGAAAGAAAGAAAGAAAGAAAAAGAAAAAAAAAAAAAAAAAAAAAAGGGUUUCACAAACCGAAAAGUUGAAUUAUUCAUUUCAACAAUUGGCAGAUGAAGUAUUUUUCUUAUCAACUUUACUACCAAAGAAAAGCUCACAAACCGUUUUAGACCAAACAAUUAAGCAUCUAUUAUCACUACUUGCAAGGUUCCAUGCUUUAUGUGCACGCAAAAUCUAGUCCAUAUAUCAUCCAUUGGAAUCAAGUAUUAUUUUUAAGGAGAGUGAUUGGCUCCUUGCCAAACUAUAUAUCAACAAAAUAUUAGCUAAAAUAUUGACAAUGUACCAUAUAUUGUAGAUAUGUUAGUACUCGAUACCAACAAAUUCUUUUCCAGAAUAAAGACCCAUGAGGCAUGUGACUUGAGGAAUAUUAGAAUACUUUUUUAAGGUCCAACAUGUGCGCAGGGGACCAGGCAGAAUCUUGUAUAAAUGGGAUUGAAUUCAUAGUGCAAGUCAUACAAGCCCUAGUUAAUUCCUUAUCCUUGGUAGUUUUGCAGUUAAUAAAUUAGAAGAAGAUGGUUUGGGAAACAAAAAGGUAUAAGGCCCCGAGCAAGGUUCCCUACACAAAGGAGCAGAUAAGGGACGUCUUCAAACGUCAUGAGACGAAUGGAGAUGGUCAACUUUCCAAAGAAGAGCUGGAUGCAGCCUUUGACGAACUUGGCGCGAAAUGGCCUCCUUUUAGAGCUUGGUUUGCUCGACGGUAUGCAGAUGACAACGGCGAUGGCUUCAUUUCUAUAGACAAGGAGCUCAGCAAGCUCGUCGAUUAUGCCCUAGAAUUGAAGUAUAUACUUCAUUAAUUAUAGUAUUUGUGGGUAACUAGUUCUUGUAUGUGCUUGCUAUAGAUAUAUUCUCAGCAAGUUCAUUGACUAUACCCUCAAUUCAAGCUUUCUAUAUAUGUAACUCUGUCCGUGUGUAAGCGUCUUUAAUUACUUAUAAGCCACCGUAGUUCCUAUAUAUGUGUGCAAGUUGAGGGAACAAAAGAGGUGAUCUUUUGUUUCCCCUUGUUACCAGGGAGGAUGAAUUUGAACCCUGAUUAUGUAUAAUAUAUAUAGUGAUUAACAAGAAUAAAGUAACAAACUUUGUGUAUUGAUAUCUAUUACAUAUAUAUAUAUGCGUACGUAGGUGUGUCUAUAUAUUUAUGUAUAUACAUAUAUAUUUUAUUACAUACGUAUACGUACACAACUUACACUGAUAAAAGCUCCGUGUUAUAGAGAUUACUGCAAUCCACUCAACACCACAUGUGGAAGCAUGGACAUUAGCAGAGUAACUUAAUAUGAUUCCAUACCAAUAUCUUGUUCAAGUGGCGUAGAGAUUUAAAUUUAAAAUCUUCAUAUAAGUAUAUCAAAAAAGAAAAAGAAGAAAAGAAAGAACUCUCACACAACUUUUCAUUGUUAUACACUCUUUUCCUAAGGGUGUACAUCCGUUCAAAACUAAUACAAUUUUACCAAUCUGCAUCUGAUUCAAUAUAUAGAUUGGAUUAUGAUUUUCUAAUCCAAUCCGAUCUCAUUAGAAGUAUAAAUCCAAUCCGAUCCAAUUAAAAUUGAAUUAGACUGGAUUGAAUGAUCAAUUUUUAUAAUGAAAAAUAGUAAUAACAAAAUAUAAAACAUUUAUCUUCAAGUUGAAUAUAAUCAAACAUUUCAGAACUUGGAGAGCACGAUGCCAUGCAGAUACCAACAGCAAAGACAGGUCCAUCCUCAACGUCAACGACCUUGUCAAAUAUGCCCUAAAACGUGGCUAUAAACUCUGAUUAACUCAGAAGCAGAUGAGGGGUUUUAGUCAACUAAUUAAUAUAAUAUAUAUGUGUAUAUGUGUGUAUGUAUGAGAGUUUUUAAUUACUUAUCUGCGAGUUCCAGCCAUAUAUACAUAUAUGUGUGUAUGCUAGAGAAGGAAGGAGGUGAGCUUUUGUUUCCCCCUCUUUGGCAAGGUUUGAUGAAUCAGAAUUAUGAUUUAUGUGGAAACUUUUGUAUUUCGCAAUGUGAUUUAAUAAUCAAAAAAAUUUAUAUUUAGAUAUCCUUUAUUAAGUAUCACCAAUUUAAUAUAAUUUUAUAAUUCACACCAACUAGCUUUUAAUAUAAUGAUAAUUGUCUCCACUUAAUUGAAUAAAGUUGCUACUCCGCUCCCUUCGCGGCCUCGGCAUCCCUGACAGCUUGGAUAGCAGCACCACCAAAUCUUGAUUUGAUUCAUAUGAAUACAACAUAACCUGCUUUGUAAACCUCGUAUGUAUAGUUUGAAGAGGAAAAGAAUUAUCAUCCAUACCAAAUCCAGAAAAACCAAAUUAUGUAUAUUAAAUGAGUUAGUAGUUACAAGGUCAAUAAUUUAUGGAGUAUAGGUGAUUGACCCCAACCUUUUUGGAUGUUGGGCAUAUAUAGCUAGCUGUCGCGUUGAAGUAGUUUUGGUUUCAGAGCGACACUCUUAUCCAUACAAUAUGUCGGUGUGCCGAUGAAAGAAUCUAUUGAUUUGUCCUCGCAAUGCAAGUGAAGGAUAAACGGCAAACUGUGUGAAUGUUUUUACUGUGAUCAGUAUGGUUGUAGAAACCAAAGCGAAGGCCUAGCUAGUUGACCCAAGUCAAGCAAAAGAAUCUAUUAGAAUUCUUCAUGUAGGACGUACGCAGGCUUAGUUUUUGUGCUUGCUGCUGAUUAGUCUGUGAUCAUGUAAUAUAAUGUCUCUGUGUAUGUACAUAUAUGCGUAUGUUAAUGAAUUAAUGACCAGUGAGCAGCCAUAGCUCUGUUUCAUAAAAUGGAUAAGCACAAAAUUUAGAAAAUAUGUGAAGGGCAUUAGUUAAUGGUUAUGUUGUUUUAUUGUUAAUGUCUAAUCUAUAUUUCAGUAAUACCAUGUGACACCAAAUGAGUUCUGUUACAAUCACCUUUUUCAUUUUCUUUUAUGAAAAAAAAGAAAAAGAAAAAAAAAACUUGAAACCAAAUGAGUUUGAUUCACAUGAAUUGCAUAAUGGGUAUAAGAUUGUCGCAAGUAAUUUGUUGAAGUGUUUCUCAUACAAUGACUCCAAAAUCAGAAGCCAAAAAGGGGAAGAAAAAUUAUGAAGCCAGAACCUGGCUUACCUGACGAAUCAGCAUCCAACGAGAGAAAAGUUGAAGCCGAUCGAGUUUAUGAUUUUCUUGGAGGACUUGAUUCACCGUAUGAUGGUGUCUAUAGCCGUAUUCUUACUCUUAGUCCUAUCCCGCCCCCUCUCGAAGCCUAUACCAUGGUCAUGGAGGAAGACACUCGUUAGUCUGCUAUGCUUAGAGGAGGUUCGAUGGCCCUCAAAGUCGACCCAGCCCGUCAAUGACCGGUCACUACCCAUCCAGAAAAUUUUCUUCUUCUGCUAGGCCUCGUUCUUCUGGAUCUAUCCCUAGCUCUCUUGAAGGUCCUCCUAAGUGUCGUCAUUGUAAUGGGAAUCACUAUUCUGAGAAGUGUUUUAAGGAGCAUGGUUAUCUUGAUUGGUUUGCUAACUACACGGCUCGUAUGUAUGGUCCUAAAGCCGCCUAUACUAUGACUCAAGAUGAGGCUCGUCCUCUGGCCCUUUCUACAAAUCUGUGUGCUUCUGAUACCAUGCCAUGUAUGGGUUCUAAUACUUGGAUAAUUGACACUGAUGCUUCUGAUCAUAUGACUUUUGAUAAUAAUAUGUUUGAUGAGUUGUCCCAUAACCCUCGUGACCCUUAUAUUACUAGUGCUAAUGGUUUACCUUCCCCAGUUAUUGGUGAAGGUACCAUCCAACUCGCUCAUUCUUUACCUCUAUCCCAUGCACUCUUGGUUCCAAAUAUUCGUUGCAAUUUGUUAUCUGUUGGGCGUUUACUUGAUACACUUAACGCGUCUGCUACUUUCUAUUCUACCUAUUGUUUUUCCAAGAUCUCAAAACUCACGAGAAGAUUAGGCAUAGUAAAUAGAUGGGGGGUUGUAUUACUUAUAGUUAUCAGUUGCAGCAGUUCGUGGUUGUGUCGCUAAUAAAGUUUAGAAUGGCAGUGUCAAAGACAAGCAACAACUUUGGUUGUGGCAUCGUCAUUUAGGACAUCCGUCCUUUGUUUAUCUUAAACAUUUGUUUUCUUCAUUAUUUAGUUUGUGUGAUGAGUCUAGCUUCAAAUAUGAAACUUGUGUAAUGGCCAAGAGCUACCGUAUUGUUUUUCCCUUGAGUAAUAAUAAAGCUGCAUUGCCUUUUGAGUUAGUACAUUCGGAUGUAUGGGGUCCUUCCCGUGUGACUUCUAAUGGUUUCCGUUGGUUUGUCACGUUUAUUGAUGACUGCACUCGCUUAACAUGGGUAUAUUUGAUGAAGCAUAAACAUGAUGUUGCCUCUAUUCUUCCUAUUUUUUGUGCUAUGGUGUCUACUCAGUUUCAUGCCAGUAUUAAAGUAUUUCGGACUGAUAAUGGAGGUGAAUAUGUGAAUCAUACCUUGACCCAUUUCGUCCGUGAUCAAGGUAUCAUCCACCAAACUACCACUCUAUUCACUCCUCAACAGAAUGGUAUGUCUGAACGUAAGAAUCGUCAGUUACUUGAAGUUGCUCGCUCCCUUAUGUUGGAUAUGUCUUUUCCCCAUCAUCUUUGUGGACACGGUGUCUUGGCCACUGCUCAUUUGAUUAACCGUACUCCUAGUCGGGUUCUUGAUUUCAAGACUCUGCUUGAUGUGUUAUGUACCCAUACUUCUCCAGUCUCGGUCUCUAAGUUACCUCCAAAGGUGUUGGGUGUGUUGCUUUUGUUCAUGUCUACUCUCAUUAACGGAGUAAACUGGACCUGUGUGCGCUUCGCUGUGUCUUCAUUGGCUAUUCUACCACUCAAAAGGGUUACAAGUGCUAUCACCCUCAUUCACAGAAAGUACAUGUUACUUUGGAUGUCAUCUUUCACGAAAAAGUAUCGUAUUAUGUCUCUUCCUCCUCUCUAAUUCAGGGGGAGAAGGGGAGUGAAUUGAAGAGUUUCGGAAUGGAAAAUCAUGGACGUAAAGAGGCAUGUGAAGGAAUUUCUGACCAAGUGCCAACGACCGGUCGUGUAAAGGAAGCAACCGGUCACCAAGUAAUCUGCCUGGAAUCGACCGGUCGAGCAGACGAUGACGACUAGUCGCAUGCCUAGAUGACUGAUGACUGCCAGGAAACGACGAUCGAUCGCUCAAAAGAUGACGAUCGGUCGCCUAUUGAAUUCUUUGAUGAAAUUUGCUCUUCGCCAAAAGAACGUGACAGUGAUACUGGUGACUCUUGUGAAGAUAAGAUCGAUAUAAGACCCCCAUCUGCUCUGCCACUGCCCCAAUCAACUCUUGAUAAUGAUGAAGUACUUUCUAAUGAUGUGUCUACUUAUUCAUUACCCCCACCCACUACUCGUGGUAAACCUAAAGUACAAUAUUCUAUUGAUAUACAUUCCAAAUCUAAAUAUCUCAUUAACCAUUAUGUGCCAACUCAUCGUCUAUCUAAGUCAUAUGCAUCAUAUUUGUGUCAAUUAUCUAGUGUUUGUAUGUCAACUAAGUUGCAUGAUGCUUUAUCUAAUCUAAAAUGGGUAGAUGCAAUGCAUGUUGAGAUGGAAGCCUUGAACAAGAAUGCCACUUGGGAGCUAGUUCCUUUACCAAAAGGAAAAAAGGCAGUUGGGUGCAGAUGAGUGUUUACUUUGAAGACAAUGCUGAUGGUUCCAUUGACCGUUACAAGGCAAGGUUGGUAGCAAAAAGUUAUACUCAGACUUAUGGAGUGGAUUACACAGCGACCUUUGCUCCAGUAGCAAAGCUCAAUACUGUGCGCGUACUCUUGACCUUGGUUGCUAAUCAUGAUUGGCCUAUGUUACAAUUCGAUGUCAAAAAUGCAUUCCUCCAUGGUGACCUCAAGAAAGAAAUAUACAUGGAUCCUCCGCCGAGUAUUCCUGUGACCUCUAAGGAGGGUAUGGUGUGCAAACUAUGGAAAUCCUUAUAUGGAUUAAAGCAGUCUCCAAGAGCUUGGUUUAGGAAGUUUGCUGCAUCUAUUAGGAAGUUUGGGUAUGUAUAAAGUAAUUCGAAUCAUACGUUGUUUCUGAAGGGUCGCAAAGGUAAAUUGACAGCUUUAAUAAUUUAUGUUGAUAAUAUAAUUGUAACUGGAGAUGAUCAUGCAGAAAUACACAGUCUCCAGAAAUAUCUGGCGUCUGAGUUUGAGAUGAAAUCAUUAGGUGACUUGAAGUAAUUUCUCGGGAUUGAAGUUGCUAAAUCUAAGCGUGGUAUUUUCCUGUUUCAAAGGAAGUAUAUUUUGGAUUUGCUUGCAGAAACUGGAAUGAUGGAUUGUAAACCAAUUGAUAAUCCUAGUGAACAAAAUCACAAGUUGGGGUUCUAUCCUGAUCAAGUUCCUACUGAUAAGGAGUGCUAUCAACAGCUCGUGGGGAAAUUAAUUUAUUUAGCUCAUACAUGUCCUGACAUUGCGUAUGCAGUGAGUGUAGUGAGUCAGUUUAUGCACUUGCCUAGUGAAGACCAUAUGGGAGCUGUGACGCGUAUUUUGAGAUAUCUCAAAGUAACUCCUGGCAAUGGGUUAAUGUUUUCAAAGUAUGGUCAUAUAGAUGUGGAAGGAUACACAGAUGCUAAUUAGGCAAGUUUAGCUAUUGAUAGGCGUUCUACGUCUGGGUAUUUUACGUUUGUUGGUGGUAAUCUUGUUACUUGGAGAAGCAAGAAACAAAAUGUGGUGUCUUGUUCUAGUGAUGAGGCUGAGUAUCGUUGGAUGGCCCAUGACGUAUGUGAGUUACUGUGGUUGAGGAGAUUAUUGAGAGAUCUUGGCUUUGGACCUAAGAAACCUAUGGAUUUAUAUUGUAACAAUAAGGCUGCGAUUGCAAUUGCUCAUAAUCAUGUACAACAUGAUCGUACAAAGCAUGUGGAGGUUGAUCGAAAUUUCAUUAAAGAGAAGUUCGAUGCGGAGAUUGUUUCCUUCCCAUUCAUCAGUUCUGAGUAUCAGUUAGCUGAUGUCCUUACGAAAGCUGUUUCUACAAGUAUCUUCCUCAACUCGCUUGACAAGUUAGGCAUGUGUGACGUCUUUGCUCCAACUUGAGAGGGAGUGUUGGCGAGAUAUCCUAACCCUAUUAGGAUAUUUCCUUCUUAUUCUAAUAGGAUUUUAUUUAUUUCUUUUUGUAUAGAUAUUACGUAAUUAGGACUUUUCUUAUUUCCUAGUAUAACCCUAUUAGAGUUUGUAACCUUGUAUUAUAAAUACCUCCUUUCGAAAAAUGAAAUACAUAUAAAAAAUAUUAUACCUAUAUUGUUUGACUAAGAUGAUGCAAGGGUUGAGUCUGAUAAUACGCAGGGUAGAAGAUGAAGAGGCGAGAGAACAUGUUUGUGUCAAACAUGUAUUUUAAUAAUUUUUUUUAAUAAAAAAAAAUGAAUUGAAGAGUUAACAGAGUUAAAAUGUUGUUAAAUAGUGUGCCACAUGUUACAAAAUCAAGGAGGAAAUGGGGACACAGAGAAUUUGGUAACAGAAAAAUUCAACUUGUAAGAGUAGCACUAGUUUAUAGUCCAUAGGUGAUUGACCCCAACCUUUUUGGAUGUUAGGCAUAUAUAGAUAGCUAUCGCGUUUAAGUACUAUUGGUUUCAGAGCGACACCCUUAUCCAUAUGGCAUCUACAACACAACAUAAAACAUAUGUUCUUUUCUUUUCAUAUCGGAUAUGGCUUUCGAGUUUCAUAUCCACCACGCUGUGUGUUAUCCAUAUGGCAUCUACAAUUGGGAUGCUUGUCCCAACAGUCAUACGCCAAAUCUCACAUAAUGAAUCUCGAUCCAACUUAAAGAGUAUAAGAUGGAGAUCUCAAGUACUCUUGAGUCUGAUAAUUAUAUUUCCAACGUUAAUUUAGGGGUUUUAGUACUUAUGAUUAAUAAUUUAUAGUUAAAAUGUUUUUAUAUGUUAUAUUAAAAUACUAUGUGCAAAGGAUUCACUAGUGUAGUGGUUUAAAGCAAUUUCUCUUUCAGACAACGUUAUAGGUUCGAAUUCUAAUAUCUGCUAGAAAGAAAGAAAGAAAAAGGUUUCACUCACAAACCGAAAAGUUGAAUUAUUCCUUUCAACAAUUGGCAGAUGAAGCAUUUUACUGUUAUCAACUUUACUACCAAAGAAAAGCUCACAAACCGCUUUUGACCAAACAAUUAAGCAUCUAUUAUCACUACUUGCAAAGUUCCAUGCUUUAUGUGCACGCAAAAUCUAGUCCAUAUAUAUGACUCGAUUUUUUUUAAAUAAUCAACUGUAGUUUACCAAUUUCAUCUGCGGAAAUUACAAGAGGCAACACUUAGAACAAGAGAAACCUAACUCAAAAACAAGAAGAACAAGAAUUUGUUUGAUAUUUCAUCCAUUGGAAUCAAGUAUUAUUUUUAAGGAGAGUGAUCGGAUCGAUGCCAAACUAUAGUAAGUAUAUAUCAACAAAAUACCAAACUGGAGUAUCAAGAAAAUAUUGAAUAAAAUAUCAAUAAUGUAUCAUAUACUGUAAAUAAAUUGGUACCCGAUACCAACAAAUUCUUUCCCAAAAUAGAGACCCUUGAGGCAUGUGACUUGAAGAAUAUUAGAAUACUUUUGGAGGUCCAACAUGUGCGCAGGGGAUCAGGCAGAGCCCUAUAUAAAUGGGCUCCCUCAUAGUGUACAAGUCACCCAAUUCAAGCCUUUGUUAAUUCCUUGGUAGUUUUUGCAGUUAAUAAAUUAGUAGAAGAUGGGUUAUCACAAUAAUCUUGAUAAGGUCCGUAAUAAGAGGGCCAAGUUUCCCUACACAAAGGAGCAGAUAAGGAACGUCUUCAAACGUCAUGACAAGAAUGGAGAUGGUCAACUUUCCAAAGAUGAGCUGGACGCAGCCUUCAAAGAACUUGGCUCGAUAUGGCCUCCUGGUAGAGCUUGGUUUGCUCAAAGGUAUGCAGAUGACGACGGCGAUGGCUUCAUUUCUAUAGACAAGGAGCUCAGCAAGCUCGUCCAGUAUGCCCUAGAAUUGAAGUAUACACUUAAGUAAUUAUAGUAUUAGUGGGUAACUAGUUCUUGUAUGUGCUUGCUAUAGAUAUAUUCUCAGCAAGCUCGUUGACUAUGCCCUCAAUUGAAGUUCUCUAUAUAAGUAAUCGUAGUGGUGGAGCUAAACUUGGUGUCUUAGUGACCACAACCACUUCAAGUCUAUAUGUAACUCCGUCUGUGUGUAAGCGUCUUUAAUUACUUGUAAGCAGCCGUAGUACCUAUAUAUGUGUGCAAGGUUGAAGGAACGAAAGAGGUGACCUUUUGUUUCCCUUCGUUACCAGGGAAGAUGAAUUUGAACCCUGAUUAUGUAUAAUAUAUAGUGAUUAACAAGAAUAAAGUAACAAACUUUGUGUAUUGGUAUCUAUUACGUAUAUAUGUGUACGUAGUUGUGAACUUGUGUCUAUAUAUUUAUGUAUGUACAUAUAUAUUGUAUUACAUACGUACACAUGCACAACUUACACUAAUAAAAGCGCCAUGUUAUAGAGAUUACUACAAUCCACUUAACACCACAUGUGGAAACAUGGACAUGACCAGAGCAACUUAAUAUGAUUCCAUAUCAAUAUCUUGCCUUUUGUUUUGGUACAUUCUGAUGUUUGGGGCCUACUCCAAUUACUAGUACUUCUGGCUUCCGUUGAUUUGUUAUUUUGUGGAUGAUUGCACUCGCAUAUCAUGGUUGUACCUGAUGCAAAAUAAGAGUGAUGUUUUUGCUUGCUUUCGAACUUUUCACCAGAUGAUUAAAAAUCAAUUUUCUGCUACUUUAAAGGUGCUUCUUUCAGAUAAUGGUGGUGAACAAUUUUGAUGAUUCUUCCCUUCAUCCACACCAUUCUUACACAGUUAUUUUCAGAAACAUGGAAUUCUACAUGAGACUACUUGUCCUUACACACCUCAGCAGAAUGGUGUGGAUGAAGGGAAGAAUCAUCAAAAUUGUGAAAUUACUCAUGCUAGUCUUAUAGGUGCCCAUAUGACCCCAUAAUUCUAGGAGGAGGUGAUCACCUAUACAGUCUAUCUUCUUAAUAUUGUGUUCCUGCUAGUGUCCUGUAGUUUAAGACACCAUUGGACAAAUUUGAGGCUUAUGUUUCCUUCCUAUCUCAUAUCACUCUUCUGUCACAUCUCGGGAUCGGCUCCGUCAUAGCACGAUAUUGUCCGCUUUGGGCCCCCUUUCUGCCCUCACAGUUUUGUUUCUAUGAAUCACGAGCAACUUCCCAGUGAGUCACCCAUCCUGGGAUUGAUUUAGCCCCAACUCGCUUAACUUCAGAGUUCCCAUGACUCUGAAGCCAGUGAGCUCUCAAAAGGCCUCGUGCUAGAUGGAGGAGGGCAUGUACAUAUAAGGCACAUCACCCCCUCUCCGUUGGUCGAUGUGGGAUGUUACACUUCUACCUUGUGUUUUUAGAUGCGUUGCUUUUGUGCACUUGCACAAACAUCAACAUACGAAAUUCGAUCAGUGUGCUGUGAAGUGUGUGUUUAUUGGUUAUCACCCCCAUCAGAAGGGUUAUCGGUACUUUCAUCUACCGAGUCAACAUUUUUAUGUUACUAUGAAUGUUACGCUUUCCAAGCAUGAGAUGUAUUUUGCUAAACCAGUAUCUCAUUCUCCUCUUAUGGGGGAGAGUAGCGUUGAAGAGUCAAAAUGGAUGAGUUAUUUCAGGAUAAUAAUGAGGUUAAUUGGUAGCCAUGCGUGACUUGACAGCUAGUAACGAACCAACCUGCACAGUACCAACCAGUACCGCACCUGCGACUGAACCUACCUGCACAUUCGCACCCACAGCCGAUAACGUCUGUGCUGCCCCUCUCUCUACUACUUUUCCAGUACCGGCCCUAAGUCUCCUCAUGCUGACAUUCUUGAGGUAAGAAUAGAAUCUUUAAUUAACACUAACAAGGAUUGUGAAAUUAUUGAGCGUAGUGAGUAUCAGUUACCAACAAUGAGUAAUUGUGGGAAGCCACCAUAUGGAUAUUCACCAGAGCCUGCGACAAAGGUAAAGUAUUUUAUUUCUCAUUAUAUGUCUACUCACAGAUUAUCUGAAGCUUGUCAGGCAUUUGUAAAUCAAAUGUCUACUGUGGCUAUUUAUAGUAAAGUACAAGAUGCAUUGUCUGAUUCAAAAUGGGCUAUUGCUAUGAUUGAAGAGAUCCAAACUCUUGAGAAAAAUCAAACCUAGGAAUUGGUGCAACAGCCAUAAGGGAAGAAACCAGUUGGUUGCAGAUGUAUUAUACCAUAAAACACAAACCGGAUGGUUCUAUUGACAAGUAUAAAGCCAGACUUGUUGCCCAGAGUUUUACCCAAACUUAUGGUAUUGAUUAUCAAGAGACAUUUGCACAUGUGGCUAAGAUCAAUACCAUUCGAGUUCUACUAUCUUUAGCUACAAACUUUAACUGACCAUUGCAGCAAUAUGAUGUAAAAAAUGUCUUUUUACAUGGAGACUUACAGGAGGAAGUCUACAUGUCAUUGUCACCAGGUUAUAAUGCUCCUACUGAUGCCAGUGUUCUGUGUAAAUUAAAGAAUGCACUGUAUGGAUUGAAGCAGUCUUUGCAAGCUUGGUUUAGGAGAUUGCGCCGUGCCAUGAAAAAUAUGGUCAUGAGCAGAGCAAUGCUCGUCAUACUUUAUUUCUUAAAAGGAAGAAUGGUAAGUUAACAGCUCUUAUUAUUUAUGCGGAUGAUAUGAUCGUGACUGGUGAUGAUCUUGAUGAAAUUGGCAAAUUAAAAGGCUAUUUCGCUUCUGAAUUUGAUAUGAAGGAUCUCGGUGGAUUAAAAUAUUUUCUGGAUAUUGAGGUAACUCAUUCUGAAUAUGGAAUUUUCUUGUCACAAAGAAAAUAUGUUCUUGAUUUGCUAAAGGAAACAGGUAUGCUUGGGUGUGAACCGAUUGGUACUCCUAUAGAACAAAAUCAUGGUUUGGAAGAAUAUCCAAAUCAAGUUCCAACUGAUAAAGGACGAUAUCAAAGGUUGGUUGGUCGGUUGAUUUAUUUGUCUCACACUUGACCUAAUAUUGCAUAUGCAGUAAGUGUUGUAAGUAGGUUCAUGCAUAAUCCAAGUUUACGAUAUAUGGAUGCAGUAGUCCAAAUUUUGAGGUAUUUGAAGUCUGCACUAGGAAAAGGUCUGAUGUUCUUAAAGCAUGGCAUGUAAAGGUUGUGGGGUAUACGGACUUAGACUCGGCAGGGAAUGGGGAUAAGAGGAGAUAGACAUUUGGUUAUUUCACGUUUGUUUAGGCGGUCACUUGGUUACUUGGAAGAGUAAAAAGCUGAAGGUUGUCUAUUUGUUGAGUCCAGAUGUCGAGUAUCGGGCUAUGGUGAAAGGUGUUUGUGAAGUGCUAUGGUUAAAAAGGCUUAUGGGGGAGCUAGGUUUUCCUACUGAGAAUACUAUGAAGUUGUAUUGUGAUAAUCAGUCAGCAAUUAAGAUUGCUGAAAAUCCAGUUCAACAUGAUAGAAUGAAACAUGUAGAGAUUGAUCGAAACUUUAUUUAUGAGGAAUUGGAAGAGAAGAUUAUUGAAGUUCCAUAUGUUAAGACUACUGAACAAUUGGCAAAUAUGUUGACCAAGGUUGUAUCAAAUCAAGCCUUUACAGAUUCACUUACCAAGCUAGGUAUCUGCGACAUCUAUGCACCAUCUUGGGGGGAGUGUUGGCUUGAAUCACAAUAGGAAUUAUAGACAAUUACCUUUAUUAUAUUGAUUUGUAAUUAUAGGAAUACCGGUUUGACCUGGAUUGUAUUUAUUCCUUUUUCCUUAUUGUAAUUAGUUACUAGAUAGACUUGUAUUUGUAUCACUAUAAAUACCUCAUUGUGAGAAGAAUAGAAACAUACUGAAUCAUUCGUAACCCUAAAUUCUAUUUGAAUGGUGUUAGCAGCAGCCAAAAAGGGGAAAAAUUUAUGAAGCGAUUUUCCUUCCAAUGGUGAUUGUGAAUUGAGUCGAGUGAGAGAGAAAGACUUAAGAGGCUGAAAGAAUUGACAAAAGCUCGUGAAUCAUCUGCUCGGCAUUGGCACUGGCUGGUUUUCAUGUAAAUUUGCAGUAUGCAAGUUCUGUUCAAAUCACAUUUUUCAUUGUCUUUUAUGGAAAAAAAAACUGAAACCAAAUGAGUUUGAUUCACAUGAAUUGCAUAAUCGGUAUAUGAUUGUCGCAAGUUAUUUGUUGAAGUGUUUCUCAUACGAUGGCUCCAAAAAAGUGGAGAAAAAUUAUGAAGCAAAACCUAGCUUACCCAACGAACCAGCUUCGAAUGAGCGAAAAAAUUUAUCGAACCAGAUACAGGGGCUAAGUUUUGCAUGGCAGAGAUGAUGCAAGGGUUGAGUCUGAUGAUACGUAGGGUAGAAGAUGAGGAGACGAGAGAACAUGUUUGUGUCAAACGCGUAUUUUAAUAAUUUUUUUUAAAAUAAAAAGAAAUGGGUUGAAGAGUUAAUAGAAUUAAAAUGUUGUUAAAUGGUGUGCCGUGUGUCACAAAACCAAUGAAGAAAUAAAGAGGCACAAGAGAUUUGGUAAGAGGAAAAUUGGACUCGUAAGAGUAACACUAAUUUAUAGAGUGGGUGAUUGACCCCAAGCUUUUUGGAUGUCAGGCAUAUAUAGCUAGCUAUCGCGAAGUACUUUUGGUUUCAGAGCUACCGUCUUAUCCAUAUGGCAUCUACAAACAUACAGCAUAUGUCGGUGUGCCGAUCAAAGAAUAUAUAAAGCAUUUUACUGUGAUCCAUUAUACGCUUUCGUCACGUGUAGUGAUCCAUUAUAUUGUUGGAUAUUGCUAUUGGUUUCGGUUUUUUGAAUGAACCAUAAUCUUAAUCUUACACUGCAAGUCCAAACCUUAUCUCUUGUAGUGUUUCAGGCACCCCUUUCUUGUAGUGUUCUUGUGGUGGUUCUGUUCAAAAUGUUGUCCACCCAAAACCUUUGCAUACUUUACAGAAAAAUUACCCCACAUAUCGGAUAUUGCUUUCCAGUUUCAAAUCCACCACGCUGUGUGUUAUUCAUAGGGCAUCUACAAUGGGGUAUGCUUGUCCCAAUAGUCAUAAGCCAAAUCUCACAUAAUGAAUCUCGAUCCAACUUAAAGAGUAUAAGAUGGAGAUCUCAAGUACUCUGAGUCUAAGAAUUAUAUUUCCAACAUGAAUUUAGGGGUUUUAAUACUUAUGAUUAUUUUAUAGUUAAAAUGAUUUUAUAUGUUAUAUUAAAACACUACGUGCAAAGGAUCCACUAAUGUAGUGGUUUAGAGCAAUUGUUCUCUCAGACAACGUCAUGAGUUCGAGUCCUAGCAUCUGUGUAGUUGAAUUAUCCCUUACAAACCGAAAAGUUGGGCACCUUUCAGAAAGAAAGAAGAAAAAAAGGUUUCACAAACCGAAAAGCUGAAUUAUUCCUUUCAACAAUUGGCAGAUGAAGCAUUUUACUGUUAUCAACUUUACUACCAAAGAAAAGCUCACAAACCGUUUUAGACCAAACAAUUAAGCAUCUAUUAUCACUACUUGCAAAGUUCCAUGCUUUAUGUGCACGCAAAAUCUAGUCCAUAUAUGCUACUCGAUUUUUUUUAAUAAUCAACUGUAGUUUACCAAGAAUUUGUUUGAUAUUUCAUCCAUUGGAAUCAAGUAUUAUUUUUUAGGAGAGUGAUCCGCUCGUUGCCAAAGUAUAUAUCAACAAAAUAUUAGGUAAAAUAUUGACAAUGUACCAUAUACUGUAGAUAUGUUAGUACUCGAUACCAACAAAUUCUUUUCCAGAAUAAAGACCCAUGAGGCAUGUGACUUGAAGAAUAUUAGAAUACUUUUUUAAGGUCCAACAUGCGCGCAGGGAACCAGGCAGAGCCCUAUAUAAAUGGGAUUGAAUUCAUAGUGCAAGUCAUUCAAGCCCUGGUUAAUUCCUUAUCCUUGGUAGUUUUGCAGUUAAUAAAUUAGAAGAAGAUGGUUUGGGAAACAAAUAGGUAUAAGGCCCCGAGCAAGGUUCCCUACGCAAAGGAGCAGAUAAGGGACGUCUUCAAACGUCAUGACAAGAAUGGAGAUGGUCAACUUUCCAAAGAAGAGCUGGACGCAGCCUUUGACGAACUUGGCGCGAAAUGGCCUCCUUUUAGAGCUUGGUUUGCUCGACAGUAUGCAGAUGACAACGGCGAUGGCUUCAUUUCUAUAGACAAGGAGCUCAGCAAGCUCGUCCAGUAUGCCCUAGAAUUGAAGUAUAUACUUCAUUAAUUAUAGUAUUAAUUAGUGGGUAACUAGUUCUUGUAUGUACUUGCUAUAGAUAUAUUCUCAGCAAGCUCAUUGACUAUACCCUCAAUUAAAGCUCUCUCUAUAUAUGUAAUCGUAGUGAUGGAGCUAGACUUGGUAUCUUAGUGGCCACAACCACUUCAAGUUUGUAUGUAACUCCGUCCGUGUGUAAGCGUCUUUAAUUACUUGUAAGCAGCCGUAGUACCUAUAUAUGUGUGCAAGGUUGAAGGAACGAAAGAGGUGACCUUUUUUUUCCCUUCGUUACCAGGGAAGAUGAAGAACCCUGAUUAUGUAUAAUAUAUAGUGAUUAACAAGAAUAAAGUAACAAACUUUGUGUAUUGAUAUCUAUUACAUAUAUAUGUGUAUGUAGGUGUGUCUAUAUAUUUAUAUAUGUACACAUAUAUUGUAUUACAUACGUAUACAUACACAACUUACACUGAUAAAAGCUCCAUGUUAUAGAGAUUACUACAAUAUUCCACUCAACACCACAUUUGGAAGCGUGGACAUGAGCAGAGCAACUUAAUAUGAUUCCAUAUCAAUAUCUUGUUCAAGUGGCAUGCAGAUUUAAAUUUAAAAUCUUCAUAUAAGUAUAUCAAAAAAGAAAAAGAAAAAAAGAAAGAACUUUCACCCAACUUUUCAUUGUUACACUCUUUUCUAUAUAAUUAUUUUCUAGGAGUGUACAUCGGUUCGAAACUAAUACAAUUGUAUAAAUCCGCAUUCGAUCUAAUAUAGAUUGGAUUAUAAUUUUCUAAUCCAAUCCGAUCACAUUAGAGAGAUAUAAAUCCAAUCCGAUUUGAUCCAAUUUAUAUUGGAUUAGACUAGAUUGGAUGAUCGGUUUUCAUAAUGGAAAAAGAUAAUAACGAAAUAUGAAACAUUUAUCUUCAAGUUUAAUAUAAUAAAACACUUUAAUAGAAUGUAAAUUUAAAAUAUCAAUGAAAUGCUAGAGAAAAUUAUUCUGAUUUUAUAAUAUAUCAAACAUAACUUCAUCAAAUUACUUAAAAUAUUUAUAACUUUCUAAAUGAAAAUUGCCUAAUAAGCAAAAUGAGGAAAUCCGUCAUCUGAUCUGAUCAUAUGUUGGUGUUGGAAAUUAGGAAUCCAAUCCACUCCGCCAAAUCAUUGAAACAUAUUAAAGUUGAAUUGGAUUGGUCGGUUUAGGGGAAUUAAAUUGGAUCUUGCACACCCCUACUGUUUCCUUUGGUGAGCAUUUACAUUAUACGUCACAAUCUCUUAAAACAUAGCACAACAAAAUGAAUAUAAUGUUUUCAAUAAAACAACGAAAUAUUCGUGAGGAUAAUCAAAUGGUCAAAUGAUUUCAAAUUUGUUGAUUUUCUUAAAUGGAGAUUGAAAAAUUAGACAGUUCAUAUCCUUAAACCACAUGUGGAAGUGCCCAAAAAAGUAAUUAUUUCAUGCAUAUUAUCUACAAAGAGUUCAAUUUGUAAAUAAAUUUUAAUUUUUUUUAUACAAGCGAUGUCUAAAUUAUUCUAAAUUAAUUAAAUUUAUGAGAAGGGAGGUUCGAACUUAGGUGCAAGGAGGCGCGCUCACUUUACUGACCAAUUUGCAUAAUCCACAUCUACAAAUCAUUCUUAUUAAUAAAUUAAAGAAUUAUGAUAUAUGUACACACAUAUAUACACGUUGCUUAACCAAUAAAUGAAAUGGAUGAAAAAUGUUACUCCUUUUUUUCUUUAAUGAAGAAAAAUGUUACAAUUUAUAAAUGGAUAAAGUCACACACACCAAAUACCAAGUCACAUAAGUUAGGGGCAAAAAGGCAGACAUUUCAACUGGCAUGGAGGUCCCGAUGUUACACUUAUGUUUAUUUAUUAAUAUUAUACUCUAGACUCAUAAAAUAUAUAUAUAUAUAUAUGUGACAGAAAUGAUGUUCUAAAUUACUCCAGCUACAGAUAGGCAGGUUGGAAUUCGAGUUCAAAUUAAAGUUUCUCCACCCAUAUUAAUAGCAUAUCAAGACAUUGUACACCCAAAACCUUUUCAUAAUUUACAAGAAAAUCACACCCCUCCCCCAAUCUAUUUGGAUAUGAAGGCUAUCGCUGUCGAGUUUGAUAUCCAUGCUGUGUUAUCCAUAUGACAUCUAUCUACAAUGGGGGUCACUGUGAAAAAAAUAGCAACAGUCACUAUUAUUUGGUGAUUAAAAUUUAGUCACCCCUAAUUAGUCACUAAAUAUCACCUGGUAAUUGUUACUCUUUUUUUUUUUCUUUUUGUAGCGGGUGAUUGUCCAAUAGUCAUAGGCCAAAUCUCACAUAUAAUUGUUCCCAAUAGUCUUCGGUUUGAUUCUUAUAAGGACAAACCAUGUGGCCUUCGUGUUUGUAUAUAUGCCUUUGGUCUGAGGAUUCUAUUUCCAACAUGAAUUUAGGGAUUUUAAUUCUUAUUGUUAAAAAAUGCUUCACCACGUUGGCCGGCGGAAAAGUUGAAUUAUAGAAAGAAUAAAAACACAAACGGAAAAGUUGAAUUAUUCCUUUCGAUCACUGUCCAUAACAACACUGGCAGAUGAAGUAUUUUUACUAUUAUCGCUUGCAAAAUUCCAUGCUUUAUUUGCACGCACAAAUCUGGUCCAUAUACAAACUAGAAAAUGAUCAAGUACAACAUGCAACACUUAGAACAAGAGAACAUAACUCAAAAACAAGAAGAACAAGAAUUUGUUAGAUAUUCAUCCAUGGAAAUCAAGUAUUAUUUUUAAGGAGAGUGAUCGGCUCAAUUCCAAACUAUAUAUCAACAAAUUAUUAGCUAAAAUAUCGACAAUGUACCAUAUACUAGUAUUGCAUACAUGUUAGUACUCGAUACCAACAAAUUAUUUUCCAAAAUUAAGACCCCUGAGGUAUGUGACUUGAAGAAUAUUAGUUAGAAUACUUUUUUAUGGUCCAACAUAUGCCCAGGGGACCAGGCAGAGUCCUAUAUAAAUGGGAUUGAAUUCAUAGUGCAAGUCAUUCAAGCCCUAGUUAAUUCCUUAUCCUUGUUAGUUUUGCAGUUAAUAAAUUAGAAGAAGAUGGUUUUCGAUACAAAUUAUAAGGUCCCGAACAACGUUCCCUACACCGAGCAGCAGAUAAUGAAUGUCUUCAAAAGUCAUGACAAGAAUGGAGAUGCUCAACUUUCCAAAGAGGAGCUGAAAGAAGCCUUCAAAGAACUUGGCUCGAAAUGUCCUCCUUUAAGAGCUUGGUUUGCUAAAAAUUAUGCAGAUGACAACCGCGAUGGCUUCAUUUCUAUAGACAAGGAGCUCAGCAAGCUCGUCAAGUAUGUCCUAAAAUUGAACUAUACACUUCAUUAAUUAUAGUAUUAGUGGGUAACUAGUUCUCAGCAAGCUCGUUGACUAUGCUGUCAACUGAAGCUCUAUAUAUGUGUGUGGAUAUAUAAACAUAGUGGCGGAGCUAGACUUGGCAUCUUGGGGGGUUGCAAUCACUUCAAGCUUAUAUAUGACUCCGUUCGUGUGUAAGCAUAUGUAAUUACUUGUAAUUCGUAUUACCUAUGUUACUAUGUAUGUGUGCAGGGUAGAGGAAACGAAGGAGAUGACCUUUCGGUACCUCUCGUUUCCGGGAAAGAUGAAUUUGAACCCUGAUUAUGUAUAAUAUAUAGUGAUUAACAAAAAUAAAGUAACAAACUUUGUGUAGUGACAUCUAUUAGGUAUAUGUAUGUGUGUCUAAUAUAUUAUAGUACAUACGUAUAUACGUACACAACUCACACUGAUAAAGUUCCAUGUUAUGGAGAUUAUUACAAUCCACUCACCACCACAUGUGGAAAGAUUGUGAUAUGAGCAGAUCUAGAGCAAUUUCACAUGCAUCCAUAUCAAUAUCUUGCUCAAGUAGCAUAGAGAUUUAAAUUUAAAUCCUCAUAAGUAUAUCCAAAAAAAG